rnacentral:rRNA from 1 species
UACGAAGGGGGCUAGCGUUGCUCGGAAUCACUGGGCGUAAAGCGCACGUAGGCGGCUUCUUAAGUCAGGGGUGAAAUCCUGGAGCUCAACUCCAGAACUGCCUUUGAUACUGAGGAGCUUGAGUCCGGGAGAGGUGAGUGGAACUGCGAGUGUAGAGGUGAAAUUCGUAGAUAUUCGCAAGAACACCAGUGGCGAAGGCGGCUCACUGGCCCGGUACUGACGCUGAGGUGCGAAAGCCAGGGGAGCAAACGGG